rnacentral:rRNA from 1 species
AACGAACGCUGGCGGCAGGCUUAACACAUGCAAGUCGAACGCCCCGCAAGGGGAGUGGCAGACGGGUGAGUAACGCGUGGGAACAUACCCUUUUCUACGGAAUAGCUCUGGGAAACCGGAAUUAAUACCGUAUACGCCCUACGGGGGAAAGAUUUAUCGGGGAAGGAUUGGCCCGCGUUGGAUUAGCUAGUUGGUGGGGUAAAGGCCUACCAAGGCGACGAUCCAUAGCUGGUCUGAGAGGAUGAUCAGCCACAUUGGGACUGAGACACGGCCCAAACUCCUACGGGAGGCAGCAGUGGGGAAUAUUGGACAAUGGGCGCAAGCCUGAUCCAGCCAUGCCGCGUGAGUGAUGAAGGCCUUAGGGUUGUAAAGCUCUUUCACCGAUGAAGAUAAUGACGGUAGUCGGAGAAGAAGCCCCGGCUAACUUCGUG